AGAGAUAUUUUCUAUCGGCUAGAUCGGAUGCUGCCUGAUUCAUGAAUCGCUGAAUUCAAACCCUACAAGACAGACCUCAUUGAACAAUGCCAUGAAUUUGCAAGGAUGAUGGUCUCCUAACCUUAAGAUUACUGAAAUUGCUGCCAUUUGUACUUGCUGUCAAGAUCUAACUGAACUCUCUUCUGUCUCCAUCCCCUGCGCAUAAAUACAGUCUUCCCCAAACCCUCAACAGAUGCCUGGAGCUUGCCACAGUCUGUGUGUACCAAAUCGCAAUUCUUCUGCUAUUCCUAAAUAAACUCCUCUUUU